AGAAGAUGACGAGUGGCGGACGGGUGAGUAAUGCUUGGGAACUUGCCUUUGCGAGGGGGAUAACAGUUGGAAACGACUGCUAAUACCGCAUAAUGUCUUCGGACCAAACGGGGCUUCGGCUCCGGCGCAAAGAGAGGCCCAAGUGAGAUUAGCUAGUUGGUAAGGUAACGGCUUACCAAGGCGACGAUCUCUAGCUGUUCUGAGAGGAAGAUCAGCCACACUGGGACUGAGACACGGCCCAGACUCCUACGGGAGGCAGCAGUGGGGAAUAUUGCACAAUGGGGGAAACCCUGAUGCAGCCAUGCCGCGUGUGUGAAGAAGGCCUUCGGGUUGUAAAGCACUUUCAGUUGUGAGGAAAAGUUAGUAGUUAAUACCUGCUAGCCGUGACGUUAACAACAGAAGAAGCACCGGCUAACUCCGUGCCAGCAGCCGCGGUAAUACGGAGGGUGCGAGCGUUAAUCGGAAUUACUGGGCGUAAAGCGCACGCAGGCGGUUUGUUAAGCUAGAUGUGAAAGCCCCGGGCUCAACCUGGGAUGGUCAUUUAGAACUGGCAGACUAGAGUCUUGGAGAGGGGAGUGGAAUUCCAGGUGUAGCGGUG
rnacentral:rRNA from 1 species